rnacentral:tRNA from 1 species
CCCGGAUCGUCUAGCGGUAGGACAGCAGACUCUGGAUCUGCUUACGGUGGUUCGAAUCCAUCUCCCGGAG